UAGGGAAUCUUCGGCAAUGGGGGCAACCCUGACCGAGCAACGCCGCGUGAGUGAAGAAGGUUUUCGGAUCGUAAAGCUCUGUUGUAAGAGAAGAACGUGUGUGAGAGUGGAAAGUUCACACAGUGACGGUAACUUACCAGAAAGGGACGGCUAACUAUGUGCCAA
rnacentral:rRNA from 1 species